rnacentral:rRNA from 1 species
UACAGAGGUCCCAAGCGUUGUUCGGAUUCAUUGGGCGUAAAGGGUGCGUAGGCGGCGGGGUAAGUUGGAUGUGAAAUCCUGGGGCUUAACCUCAGAAUUGCAUUCAAUACUGCCUUGCUAGAGAGCUGUAGAGGAGACUGGAAUUUACGGUGUAGCAGUGAAAUGCGUAGAUAUCGUAAGGAACGCCAGUGGCGAAAGCGAGUCUCUGGGCAGCAUCUGACGCUGAGGCACGAAGGCCAGGGGAGCAAACAGG